rnacentral:rRNA from 1 species
GAGUUUGAUUAUGGCUCAGGAUGAACGCUAGCGGGAGGCCUAACACAUGCAAGCCGAGCGGGAUUUGUUGGUUAGCUUGCUAACUAAUAAUGAGAGCGGCGUACGGGUGCGUAACACGUGUGCAACCUGCCUUUAUCUGGGGGAUAGCCUUUCGAAAGGAAGAUUAAUACCCCAUAAUAUAUUAAUUGGCAUCAAUUGAUUUUGAAAGCUCCGGCGGAUAGAGAUGGGCACGCGUAAGAUUAGCUAGUUGGUGAGGUAACGGCUCACCAAGGCUGCGAUCUUUAGGGGGCCUGAGAGGGUGAUCCCCCACACUGGUACUGAGACACGGACCAGACUCCUACGGGAGGCAGCAGUGAGGAAUAUUGGACAAUGGGUGAGAGCCUGAUCCAGCCAUCCCGCGUGAAGGACUAAGGACCUAUGGUUUGUAAACUUCUUUUAUAACAGGGAUAAACCUACUCUCGUGAGGGUAAGAAGAAAGGUACUGUAUGAAUAAGCCCCGG